UACGUAGGGGGCAAGCGUUUGUCCGGAAUCAUUGGGCGUAAAGCGCGUGUAGGCGGCUCGGUAAGUCCGCUCUGAAAGUCCAGGGCUCAACCCUGGGAUGCGGGUGGAUACUGCCGGGCUCGAGUCCGGAAGAGGCGAGUGGAAUUCCCGGUGUAGCGGUGAAAUGCGCAGAUAUCGGGAGGAACACCAAUGGCGAAGGCAGCUCGU
rnacentral:rRNA from 1 species